GGGGCAGUAGGUCAGUGGUAGACCAUUGGGUUGCUAAGCCUGAGGCUCCAGGAUCGAAUCCUAUCCUCCCCA
rnacentral:tRNA from 1 species